UAAAUGUGGCUGUGUGAAAGCUCACAGAUUUCUGUUUCAGUUACGGCAAUAAUAUGAAUUAUAUAAUACAAUUAAUGGCUUAUAUUUUUAGACACUCAACUCAAUGGUGAUGAAGAAAGAAGACAGCUGGCUUCAACAAUGAACAAUGAACUGAUCAACAUCCUGUGUGAAAUUAAAAAUUUUCCUCCUUCUCUAUUGAGACAUGGCAGCUUAAACACCUUGAAUUCAGUGAGGGUAUAAUCCCUAACAUUUAAAAAGUCAAAGUGAUUAAAAUUAUUUAACUUAACACUAACUUAACAACAGAAGAACAGUUUAGCCUUUUCUAUAUAUUUUAUUUUCCUAAAUUUGUACUGCCACCUGAGAUUUAUAUUAAUUGGACACUGUUACUGAAGAUCUGGUGAGAACUCUCCAUUUUGUAUAAGGCUUAUCUUAACUUCAAGAAAUUCAACUUAAUACAGACCUAUUUUAUUUACUUUCUGAUCAAACCUAAUUAUUUGAAUUCAAAAACUACUUUAUUUUCAUUAAGAAUAAUCCCAGAAAAACAAUUUGAACAAGAGAACUAAAUUCAACUUUGAUAAAUUUUUCACAUUCUAGGCCUAUUCAUUGUUGGACUAUUUAACUUACCUACCCAAGCCUAAGGGCAAUAUCAAAAUUCCAUUUUUCAUAAUAAUUGACAUGUUUUAUUUUUCAUAAAAAUAUUUGAAGAUCUUUUUAGCCAGCCGAGUUCCCCUCCCUGAGAAGAUUUAUGUAAUUAAACUUAUAUCUUAUUGUAAACUCAUUGUUCUGUUUUACUGAGCUAGGCUAAACCAAUGAUGGCGACCCUGUAUCUGUUCAUUUAAAUAUCAAACCCAUUCAUCAUUGUAACAUCCUAACUUAUUCUUUGUUCAUUAAAUUGGUGUUGUAAAGAAA